CCUACGGGAGGCAGCAGUGAGGAAUAUUGGUCAAUGGGCGCAAGCCUGAACCAGCCACGUCGCGUGAGGGAUGACGGCUCUCCGAUUGUUAACCUACUUUUAUUGUGGAGAUAAUUACGGUAGCUGUAGAGUAAUCUACGUCUAAUUACGUGCAAGCCGCCGCGGUAAUACGUAGGGAGCCAGCGUUGUCCGGAUUUACUGGGUGUUAAGGGUGCGUAGGUGGCACUGCAAGUGAGAAGUGAAAUGCAUGGGCUUAACCCGUGAACUGCUGUGGAAACUGGCGGGCUGGAGUGCAGUCGAGGCAGGCGGAAGUCGCGGUGUAGCGGUGAAAUGCGUAGAGAUCGGGAGGAACACCAGUGGCGAAGGCAGCCUGCUGGACUGUAACUGACGCUGAAGCACGAAAGCGUGGGUAGCAAACAGGAUUAGAUACCCGAGUAGUC
rnacentral:rRNA from 1 species